rnacentral:rRNA from 1 species
ACUCAAAUGAAUUGACGGGGGCCCGCACAAGCAGUGGAGCAUGUGGUUUAAUUCGAUGCUACGCGAAAAACCUUACCAGGGUUUGACAUCCCGGUGUAAUCCCAUAGAAAUAUGGGACCCCUUCGGGCAUCGGUGACAGGUGGUGCAUGGUUGUCGUCAGCUCGUGCCGUGAGGUGUUGGAUUAAGUUCCGCAACGAGCGCAACCCUCGUUGCUAGUUGCCAGCAUUAAGUUGGGCACUCUAGCGAGACUGCCAGCGUCAAGCUGGAGGAAGGUGGGGAUGACGUCAAAUCAUCAUGCCCCUUACACUCUGGGCUACACACGUGCUACAAUGGCCGGUACAACGGGUUGCCACACCGCGAGGUGGAGCGAAUCCUCCAAAGCCGGUCUCAGUUCGGAUUGCAGGCUGCAACUCGCCUGCAUGAAGCUGGAAUUGCUAGUAACCGUGGAUCAGCAUGCCGCGGUGAAUACGUACUCGGGCCUUGUACACACCGCCCGU